rnacentral:tRNA from 1 species
AGCUCUGGGGUGUUAACAUGCCAGAUUGCAAAUCUGGAGAAGCAGGCUACCCACCUGCCAGAGCUU